CCUUUAGAGCUGAAAGCAUAGAAAUGAAGUCGUACUAAGUAUGUGCCAUUAUCAGUGAUUGUGAGCUCAUAAGGUGAUGGCUGCCUGAAAAUUCUUGCGGUUUGAUAGAGAGGAGAAGUGUCUACAGGUAAUCCUGAAUCGUUGCUGAUAGAACCACCAUUUCCUGUAGAGAAGUAACCAGAAUUUUCAUCACCAGCGAAAGUCCGGCCAUCAUUAAGACUAACAAUGGAUCCUGAUCCACAGUUUAUGGAGUAAUUAGUAGCUGAAGUGCAAGUAGAUGAAAGAAGUAAAAGAGAAAGGAAUUUUAUGAGAAGGGGAGGAUAAAGAAACUUUGCCAUGGAAAUUUGAUUUUUGCACCAGUGGAAAAAGAGAGAUGUCACAUGUGUAUAGCAGCAACUAAGAGAAAG
rnacentral:misc_RNA from 1 species